UACGUAGGGGGCAAGCGUUGUUCGGAAUUACUGGGCGUAAAGGGCGCGUAGGCGGCACGGCAAGUCGGGAGUGAAAGCCCGGGGCUCAACCCCGGAGGGUCUCUCGAAACUGCCGAGCUAGAGUGCGGAAGAGGCAAUCGGAAUUCCCAGUGUAGCGGUGAAAUGCGUAGAUAUUGGGAAGAACACCGGAGGCGAAGGCGGAUUGCUGGGCCGACACUGACGCUGAGGCGCGACAGCGUGGGGAGCAAACAGG
rnacentral:rRNA from 1 species